UCGUAUCCAGAUCGGGCUAUUCGUAGUGCCAUCUUUAACCAUCGUAGAACCAUCGGCCACUUUUUCUAGCCUUCGGGGACAACUUCGGGAAGGGUUCUAAAUUUUUUAACAUGUUAAAAAAUCCCCGAAGGUGCGUCCGAUGUUGAGGGUUCGUAUUGAGUUCGUAUCACCAUCCUCACCAUCGUAAUGUCACCGGAAAUGCAUCUUUG
rnacentral:lncRNA from 1 species